UCGAGAGAAGGGGCAGGGGAAGAACAAAACCCUAAUCAGCCUAAAUUCAUCAAAUUGAAAGGGGAAUUGAGGGCUAUUUGGAUGCAUGAACCAAGAAUGUUGAUCCCGUAAGCGUUUCUAAUAUCAAAUAGGAGUCAUCUCAACAUGGACACAAGCAUGGAAGGGCAACGGGUCAAAGGUAAACCCGGAAGCUAUGCACGAACUCGGACGCACGAGGUACCACACGGAUUCCUUCCACUACUAACGAUGAUGAGCGGGCAUAGAUCGAGUCGAAUAGCAGGGAUUGUACGGAAAGAACGGUUACGUAGUCUUAAUUUUGUAACGCAUUAAUUUGUAAAUGGAAGUGAAUUUUGUAAGCUUCUUCAUGAAUGUGUGUAUUGUUAUAAAAUCAUAAAGAAAUUUUUAAAGCUAUUUUUCCGCUGCGUUA